GUGAUUCAUAUUGGUGUUUGGAAUUGUACAGUUAUCAAGUUGCAUAAAUAUGAAAUUCAUGGGUUUUUACAGGUUACCUUUCGUGCUAAAAUUGGCAAACAAUAUCAGCUGCCUCAUAAGGGGAUAAUUCCUGAAGAAUUUGGAGUGGUUGCUAGAUACAAGGGACAAGGGAGGCUGGCUGAUCCUGGGUUCAGAAAUCCUCGAUGGGUUGAUGGCGAGCUUGUCAUUCUUGAUGGAAAGUAUAUUAGAGGAGGCCCUGUUAUUGGAUUUGUUUAUUGGACAUCAGGAUAUAAUAUCUUGUUAUUCUUUAAUCGGUUAAAGCUUCCAGAUUAGAUUGCUACCGCAUGCAGAAGGUGAUCAGGAUACCUCAUUUCAGAUAUGCUACAUUUGAUGAAGCCUGUAUAGAAAUUGAAAGCGUGGAUUGUCUAAGCUGCACGGCACAUUGCUCACUGGACGGUACGUGCAGAAUCAAGCACCACCAGAAUCAGAAAAAAGAACUACGAAAUCUGUCACCUUGCUUCCCAAAAUCAAGUCUUCCUUUCUUUCCUAUACCACUUCCAUGUACAUUGUCAACCGAAGAACUAAAUGAUGGUUGUAUAUGCUCUUAACCUUUGCAAAUUUUGCUUCUAUAUAUGAUGACUUUUACUUGUUACAUGUACUAAACCUACAAGCUAUACGUGAAGGUGCAAUUGUCUCCAUAUGCAAUUAUUAUUUUCCUAAA